GCGGUAAAAAUUUAGAUUCCUAAAAUAAACGAUUCUAAAUUCGAUCUUUCACUCUCGCAAAUUGGAAAAACGCGGCUAAAAAGGAAAAAGUGUGCUCCACAUAUUCUUUAAUGGAGAUUAAUCAUCUUUGUGGUUCUUCUGAUGUGGAAUUAUUUGGAGUUCGUGUUUAGAUUCACUAUAGGAAAGAAAAAUGUUGUUUAAACAUUAUUUCGCACACCUAUUGGGGCAUCCGUGUUGGUUAGAAUCAACACAUUGUUUUAAGGAUACUCAGGUUAAAUUCUAUAAAGUUAAAGUGAGACUAAAACUUGAUAGCCUCUAAAGGAAUAUACACCUCAGCUUCUCUUACUGUUGAAUGGGUGAAUGUAUUAAAUGAAAGAAUUUCUUGUACAAUAUGAAUCUCACAAAAAACUUAUAGCAUCAAUUUAUACGCUGUGGAGACUCAAAGCAAUGAUUUAGUGGCCUAAACAUUAUACGCUGUGAGAUUAACGUGAGAAGCCUGGUAUUUGUUUUUCUUUUAUUGUUAGGUUACAAUCUCCAUGCCAAAAACUACUAAUAGUAGAAUUUUUUUGUUAGAAUUAUACUUAUUUAAUUCCUUUAGUUUAAUGUUGACAUUUGUUUACCUAGAUUUCUUUAUUUUCCAUUUGUUAGUGUUAAACAAUAACAUUAAAUCACACUUAUAUUGUGUUGUUUCGGUUCUUCUUUCUUGCUUGUUUCCAUUCAAACAUACGCUCAUGAAUAGUGUUGCAUGUAAUAAAAACUUCAAUCUUUUUAAAAGAGUUUUUCCUAAGUUUUCCCUGUCCUUUAUAUAUUUUUGUUAUUGUUGGUAUAGCAUGUUCCAUUUUCAGCUUCAUGUGUACUCUUUAAAUAUCUAUUAGGAUGUAGC